ACCUGCACGAAUGGCGUAAUGAUGGCCAGGCUGUCUCCACCCGAGACUCAGUGAAAUUGAACUCGCUGUGAAGAUGCAGUGUACCCGCGGCAAGACGGAAAGACCCCGUGAACCUUUACUAUAGCUUGACACUGAACAUUGAGCCUUGAUGUGUAGGAUAGGUGGGAGGCUUUGAAGUGUGGACGCCAGUCUGCAUGGAGCCGACCUUGAAAUACCACCCUUUAAUGUUUGAUGUUCUAACGUGGACCCGUGAUCCGGGUUGCGGACAGUGUCUGGUGGGUAGUUUGACUGGGGCGGUCUCCUCCUAAAGAGUAACGGAGGAGCACGAAGGUUGGCUAAUCCUGGUCGGACAUCAGGAGGUUAGUGCAAUGGCAUAAGCCAGCUUGACUGCGAGCGUGACGGCGCGAGCAGGUGCGAAAGCAGGUCAUAGUGAUCCGGUGGUUCUGAAUGGAAGGGCCAUCGCUCAACGGAUAAAAGGUACUCCGGGGAUAACAGGCUGAUACCGCCCAAGAGUUCAUAUCGACGGCGGUGUUUGGCACCUCGAUGUCGGCUCAUCACAUCCUGGGGCUGAAGUAGGUCCCAAGGGUAUGGCUGUUCGCCAUUUAAAGUGGUACGCGAGCUGGGUUUAGAACGUCGUGAGACAGUUCGGUCCCUAUCUGCCGUGGGCGCUGGAGAACUGAGGGGGGCUGCUCCUAGUACGAGAGGACCGGAGUGGACGCAUCACUGGUGUUCGGGUUGUCAUGCCAAUGGCACUGCCCGGUAGCUAAAUGCGGAAGAGAUAAGUGCUGAAAGCAUCUAAGCACGAAACUUGCCCCGAGAUGAGUUCUCCCUGACCCUUUAAGGGUCCUGAAGGAACGUUGAAGACGACGACGUUGAUAGGCCGGGUGUGUAAGCGCAGCGAUGCGUUGAGCUAACCGGUACUAAUGAACCGUGAGGCUUAACCUUACAACGCCGAAG
rnacentral:rRNA from 1 species